AUUGAACGCUGGCGGCAUGCCUUACACAUGCAAGUCGAACGGCAGCACGGGUGCUUGCACCUGGUGGCGAGUGGCGAACGGGUGAGUAAUAUAUCGGAACGUACCUUAUUGUGGGGGAUAACGCAGCGAAAGCUGUGCUAAUACCGCAUAAUCCCUAAGGGGGAAAGCGGGGGACCGUAAGGCCUCGCGCAAUUAGAGCGGCCGAUACCUGAUUAGCUAGUUGGUGAGGUAAAGGCUCACCAAGGCAACGAUCAGUAGCUGGUCUGAGAGGACGAUCAGCCACACUGGGAGUGAGACACGGCCCAGACUCCUACGGGAGGCAGCAGUGGGGAAUUUUGGACAAUGGGGGAAACCCUGAUCCAGCAAUGCCGCGUGAGUGAAGAAGGCCUUCGGGUUGUAAAGCUCUUUUGUCAGGGAAGAAACAGCAGCUCUAACACAGUAUGCGAAUGACGGUACCUGAAGAAUAAGCACCGGCUAACUACGUGCCAGCCGCCGCCGUAA
rnacentral:rRNA from 1 species